GUCCCAGACUCCUACGGGAGGCAGCAGUGGGGGAUAUUGUACAAUGGGGGGAACCCUGAUGCAGCGACGCCGCGUGGGUGAAGGAGCGUUUCGGCGCGUAAAGCCCUAUCGGCAGGGGAGAAGGGGGACGGUACCUGACUAAGAAGCCCCGGCUAACUACGUGCCAGCAGCCGCGGUAAUUCGUAGGGGGCAAGCGUUACCCGGAUUUACUGGGGGUAACGGGGGCGCAGACGGCAGCGCAAGCCAGGAGGGAAAGCCCGGGGCCCAACCCCGGGACGGCUCUGGGAACGGCGCGGCUGGAGUGCAGGAGGGGCAGGCGGAAUUCCUGGUGUAGCGGUGAAAUGCGUAGAUAUUAGGAGGAACACCAGUGGCGAAGGCGGCUUACUGGACUGUAACUGACGUUGAGGCUCGAAAGCGUGGGGAGCAAACAGGAUUAGAUACCCCAGUACG
rnacentral:rRNA from 1 species